GAAAAGUAAAAUAAGGGAAGAGAAUGGAUUUUCUAUGUGGAAAGAAAAAGGAAAAAAGAAAGAAAGGGGUAAAUAGAAAGAAAGGAAAAUGGAAAUGAAUAGAUAAUGAUAAGUAGUAGAAAUGAGACGUGUCGUCUAGAGAAAUAAAAGGAGAAAAAUAUAAAAAGAAUUUUAGAAAAUAGAAAAAGAGAGUUGAGAUAGAAAUCAAAUUAGUCUCUAUCACUCUACUUUCUCUAUCUUCACGUCUCUCUCCCUCUCCACUUCCAUUUUCGCUCCUGCUUUCUCUCUUCGUUCACAUGUUCAGCUACACCUCAACGCCGAGCUCGUCGGCGAAGUCGCCGGGAUGCCAGAACUCACACAACUCACCCCAAGUCCUAAUUUCCCUCGUUUCUCUCCAUUUUAGAGAUUGAAUUUCAAUCCCACUUUGAUCCAACAUCCAAAAUAGUUAUAUCGGAGGAGAACCAAGUUCCAGUGCAAGUAACAAAGGAGAUGACAUGAUCUUGGAGUAAACGAAUAAAUUUAUGGAGUUUUAUUGACGUGUACAGAGUAUAGUAGUGAGGAGUCUCACUAGUUGGCAGCUGCACGUCAUUGCGCGUGUCUAGUCACUGCGUGUAUAGUUGGAUAGAGUUUUAUUAUAACAUGUUGAUAAUUAUUUAAUAGUGUGUAUCUGUUUGUCGGAUUCAAAGGAAAAAAAAUAUACAUACGGAGAGUUGGGUUCUUAUUAA